GACGAACGCUGGCGGCAUGCCUAAUACAUGCAUGUCGAGCGAACAGAUGAAGUGCUUGCACUUCUGACGUUAGCGGCGAGCGGGUGAGUAACACGUAAGGAAUCUACCUAUAAGCGGGGGAUAACAUUCGGAAACGGGUGCUAAUACCGCAUAAUAUCUUCUUCCGCAUGGAAGCAGAUUGAAAGACGGCUCUGCUGUCACUUAUAGAUGACCUUCCGGUGGAUUAGUUAGUUGGUGGGGUAAUGGCCUACCAAGACGAUGAUGCAUAGCCGACCUGAGAGGGUGAUCGGCCACAUUGGGACUGAGACACGGCCCAAACUCCUACGGGAGGCAGCAGUAGGGAAUCUUCCGCAAUGGGCGAAAGCCUGACGGAGCAAUGCCGCGUGAGUGAAGAAGGCCUUCGGGUCGUAAAACUCUGUUAUAAGAGAAGAACAAAUUGUAGAGUAACUGCUACAGUCUUGACGGUAUCUUAUCAGAAAGCCACGGCUAACUACGUGCCAGCCGCCGCCGUAA
rnacentral:rRNA from 1 species